rnacentral:rRNA from 1 species
GGCGGCGUGGAUAAGACAUGCAAGUCGAACGGGAUUACUUUUGUAGCAAUACAGAAGUAAUUCAGUGGCGAACGGGUGCGUAACACGUGGGCAAUCUGCCGAAAAGUGGGGGAUAGCUCGCCGAAAGGCGAAUUAAUACCGCAUGUGGUGAGGGACGACAUCUUCCUGAAUCCAAAGCCGGGGCAACCUGGCGCUUUUUGAGGAGCCCGCGGCCUAUCAGCUAGUUGGUGAGGUAACGGCUCACCAAGGCUAUGACGGGUAGCUGGUCUGAGAGGACGACCAGUCACACUGGAACUGAGACACGGUCCAGACACCUACGGGUGGCAGCAGUCGAGAAUUUUUCUCAAUGGGGGAAACCCUGAAGGAGCGACGCCGCGUGGAGGAUGAAGGCUUUCGGGUUGUAAACUCCUGUCAUUUGGGAACAAGGUGCACACGUUAACUGCGUGGGUAUUGAUAGUACCAGAAGAGGAAGGGACGGCUAACUCUGUGCCAGCAGCCGCGGUAAUACAGAGGUCCCAAGCGUCGUUCGGAUUCAUUGGGCGUAAAGGGUGCGUAGGUGGCGCCGUAAGUCGGGUGUGAAAUUUCGGAGCUUAACUCCGAAACUGCAUUCGAUACUGCGGUGCUUGAGGACUGGA